AUGGGCAACACCCUGCCAUGCAUGUGCAACGAGGCCAGGGUGGUGCACGCCACCGUCGCCGGUGCCAAGAAGGUGAAGAGGAAGGAGCGGCUGGCGGCGGCCAAGAACGUCGUCGACGACAGGGAGGAUCAGGACCGCGGCGACGACGAGGGGGUGGAGAAGAGGCCGGCGUGGCCGCGGUGCCACAUGCAGGAGGUUGCCGUGGGCGAGGACGGCGCGGUGCGGUUGAAGGUGGUGAUGACGAGGAAGGACGCGGCGGAGUUCAUGGCGAGGCUGGAGGAGCGGGCCGCAGCGGAGAGGAAAGCCAGGACGGGGUGUCUCAGCCACGGCGGCGCCGUCACGGGCCCGUGCCGAGAUGCGUGGAGGCCUCGUCUCGCGACCAUACAGGAGAACUGCUAG
rnacentral:rRNA from 1 species